rnacentral:rRNA from 1 species
GACGAACGCUGGCGGCGCGCUUAACACAUGCAAGUCGAGCGAUAACCAUGGCUUCGGCCAUGGGGGGAGCGGCGAACGGGUGAGUAACACGUGAGUGAUCUGCCCUCGACACCGGGAUAGCCUGGGGAAACCCGGAUUAAUACCGGAUGGACCAUCUGCUCUUCGGAGCGGCUGGAAAAGGUAGCUUCGGCCUCCGGCCGAGGAGGAGCCCGCGGCGGAUUAGCUUGUUGGUGAGGUAACGGCUAACCAAGGCGACGAUCCGUAGCUGGUCUGAGAGGACGAUCGGCCACACUGGGACUGAGACACGGCCCAGACUCCUACGGGAGGCAGCAGUGGGGAAUCUUGCGCAAUGGGCGAAAGCCUGACGCAGCGACGCCGCGUGCGGGAAGAAGGCCUUCGGGUUGUAAACCGCUUUCAGGAGGGACGAAGCCACUCGGGUUAAUAGCCCAGAGGGUGACGGUACCUCCAGAAGAAGCCCCGGCUAACUACGCGCCAGCCGCCGCCGUAACAC